CAAUUAAUGUGUGACGGAAUUAAGGAAGCAGCAUGAGACAACACGUGUUUGAUCGAGAAGACUUAAUGGAGUCUAGGAUUGAAAAUCAACUUUAUUCACUUGGAGUUUAUGAGGCCAAUGAGUAUCAAACUAGCAGCUGUCUCCAAUGAAGGGACCAGACUGAGCACAGAAUCCUGGAUUAAAUUAGACACGUGCCAUCGGAGCGCACUCUCACCGACAACAAGGACAGAAGAAAACUGAAGGCUGACACUAUGAGGGGGCUGAAGUGGAGGACGUCAGCUUUGCUCUGAGUUCAGACUUCAGCAUACCAGGCGGCUGCACCCCAUCAAGGCACCGGGCAGCUGCUAGCCCUGCCCUCCGCUCAUAUCAGGGUGUCGUCUGACGUCCUUGGGAUGAGGGGGACAGCUGGCUGGGAUAGGCACAGCUGGGAGGGGUCACCAUGAUGGACAUGCGAGAUGACCAUUCUUAAUGGUGACAUAUUUGGAUCCAACACACUUAUUUAGUUAAAAAGUCACACCUCUCUGGCUUUUUCCAACUCAGCCUGCAAGACGUGCUUGGCCACAUCCAGCUCCUGUGUCUUCUCUCGUAGCAUUUCAUUCUCCCAAUCCAAGUGACUGUUCUUCUUCUGCACGCCCUCCAGCUCAGUAUAGAGCCGCAGCGACACACUCUUUGCAACCUGAAAGCAAAGCCAAUGACAGAAUGUUUUGCGCUCGCAUUUAUCACUUGUGUAAAACAUUAAAGGAGUUUAAAACAUAUUUAAAACAUUUCCUUGUGGACUAGAUAAUAUGUAUUGUAUAUGCUUUGGUCUAAAUUGUGCGUGAAUAAGUUACUUUCUUAACCCAUUUUUGAGUCUGUCAUAUGUUCAAUUCUGGAGGUGUUACCAGAUAGCAAACGCUGCACCCUCUCCAAAAGUAUUAUCUUUUGAAAUGUACACUGUUUAAAUGUAUACCUUGAAGUCGUCUUCAUAAAUAAUAAACACA